GAACUCGAUUUCAUAAACCUAAAACCUUAACCUAUUCUCAAUUCCCUAUAGCUAUAACCUAUAACCUAAACCUAAACCAUAACCUUAACCUAAACCUUAUCCUAAACCUAAACCUAAACCUAAACCUUAACCUCAACCUAAACCUAAACCUAAACCUUAACCUUAACCUUAACCUAUACUUAUGAAUUCUAAUUUAUUUUAUAAAAGUUCAUUUACGACUAAGUUAUUUUCUUAAUAAGUUUAUUGCCUUAAUCUAUUAUUUACAAAAUUGCAGGAUAAAUUUCACUUGGAUUUGAGUGUUCCACACAUCUCCUAUGUCGUCGACGACAUGAUGGAGCGGUUCAAGGCUUACCGCGGUAAGUUAUACCAGCAGUACAAGCGGUCCACAAGCCACGAGAAGCCCGCACAGUCCGCACCGUCUCACAUGACCCAUGAGGACUGGCGGAUACUCUGCGAUAGGUUUUCGUCUGAUUCUUUUUAGAAGAGGAGCAAACUAAAUUCUGACAACAAGAGAAAGUUAGAAGUGAACCACGUAGCUGGUUAAAGUUAUUUGUACGACUUCGUCACGACAUGGUAAGAAAUUACUGGUAAUUUAUAUAUUCUUUCCAUGCAUUUAUAUUAACUCUAUUUUUCUUUCGAUUUUAUAGCGAGAGUUCGUCACUGGCCAGGCGCCCGGACUAUUAGACUUCUACAAAGGGACUCACUGUCAGCAGGCGAGUGGAUCUUGGAUACAUUCUAGAGCCAGCGAGAUUUGGGUAAAAAUCCUUAUAUUGUAAAAUUUAAUUGCAUUAAAUUAUAAUAAUGUCAUUUAUUAUGAAAAUUCAUAUGUUUUCAUUACAUGAGGAGAUGGACACCUUAUGUAGUCAGCCCACUCCCGAUGGUACUCAGCGGAGUGAGCCAGAGAUCCUGAGUCAGGUGCUUGGCACCCGUUCUGGAUAUGUGCGUGGGCUUGGCUAUGGUGCCAAGCUCAUGGCACCCGCUAGAGCUACCUCCAGCCGAUCCGUCGUCGUUAACGACAGUGUCGCACACUGAGCUGAUACUGCAGAGAGAGAGGUUCAGCAGCUACGGGUUAUCGUCGAUGACAUCAGAGAUCAGCUGGACAGGCAGAGGGAGGAGCAGGAGAGGAAGAUGAUGGAGGAGCUGGCGAGGCAGAGGGAGGAACAGGAGAGGAAGAUGGAGGAUCAGCUGGCGAGGCAGAGGGAGGAGCAGGAGAGGAAGAUGGAGGAGAUGUGGGUGGAGCAUGAGCGACAGAUGACGAAGAUGUUUCAAGCUUUUGUUGCACGCUUACCCACCGAUGCCCCACCACCUUCGCCUUCAUCUUUAUGAUUUUUUCUUUUUUAUUUAUGAUAUUAAACUUAUAUGUAUUUAUGCGUGAAUGAAUGUGAUGCAUAUAAGAUUGUUUGUGUUUGGAUGUAUAUAGUUUAUGUUUGGAUGGAUUUACUAGUUUGGGUUAGAUGGAUCUGAAUGUGAAUAUGAUGAAAUUUGACAGGUGUAUUAUGAUAUAACAGGUGUACAUCAGGAAAAAUAUAAUACAUAACAGGUGUA